ensembl:snoRNA
CCACUCCCACGAUGUCCAGCACUGGGCUGCAAUUACCCAUGAGGACACAGUGCCUCCCAGGAUCUCUGACACCUUGGGGGUCUGAGGGGCCC